AGUGCACGCUGGCGGUAGGCCUAACACAUGCAAGUCGAACGGCAGCACAGUAAGAGCUUGCUCUUACGGGUGGCGAGUGGCGGACGGGUGAGGAAUACAUCGGAAUCUACUUUUUCGUGGGGGAUAACGUAGGGAAACUUACGCUAAUACCGCAUACGACCUACGGGUGAAAGCAGGGGAUCUUCGGACCUUGCGCGAUUGAACGAGCCGAUGUCGGAUUAGCUAGUUGGCGGGGUAAAGGCCCACCAAGGCGACGAUCCGUAGCUGGUCUGAGAGGAUGAUCAGCCACACUGGAACUGAGACACGGUCCAGACUCCUACGGGAGGCAGCAGUGGGGAAUAUUGGACAAUGGGCGCAAGCCUGAUCCAGCCAUACCGCGUGGGUGAAGAAGGCCUUCGGGUUGUAAAGCCCUUUUGUUGGGAAAGAAAAGCAGCAGGUUAAUACCCCGCUGUUCUGACGGUACCCAAAGAAUAAGCACCGGCUAACUUCGU
rnacentral:rRNA from 1 species